rnacentral:rRNA from 1 species
UACGAAGGGGGCUAGCGUUGUUCGGAAUUACUGGGCGUAAAGAGUGUGUAGGCGGUGUUCUAAGUCUGUUGUGAAAUCUCCCGGCUUAACUGGGAGGGUGCGGCGGAAACUGGAAUGCUAGAGGAUGGGAGAGGUAAGCGGAAUUCCUGGUGUAGCGGUGAAAUGCGUAGAUAUCAGGAGGAACACCUGUGGUGUAGACAGCUUACUGGACCAUUUCUGACGCUGAGACACGAAAGCGUGGGUAGCAAACAGG